rnacentral:ncRNA from 1 species
UCUGCAUAAAUUUGUAUCUAACCAAGAGAUUCGAGCAAAUCACUUUGUGGAAAUUUAAAUUAGUAACAAUAAUUUGAAAUUGCUAAAGAUUUACAUAUAAAUGAAAUUUCAAAUUAUUUGGAUAACCGUAUGUCCUUUAGCAUUUUAUGCUAUAAAAAUAAUUUUGCAUAGCUUUGUAUAAGUCCUCUGUACCCUCAAUCACUUUGUGAUUGCAGUUUGCAAAUUACGGUAUU